rnacentral:rRNA from 1 species
AAGCGAAGCCGCGAGGUAGAGCAAAUCUCAAAAAGACAUCUCAGUUCAGAUUGCAGGCUGCAACUCGCCUGCAUGAAGUCGGAAUUGCUAGUAAUCGUAGGUCAGCAUACUACGGUGAAUACGUUCCCGGGCCUUGUACACACCGCCCGUCAAACCAUGAGAGUUGGCAACACCCGAAGUCGGUAGUCUAACCGCAAGGAGGACGCCGCCGAAGGUGGGGUUGAUGAUUAGGGUUAAGUCGUAACAAGGUAAC